rnacentral:rRNA from 1 species
GACGUAGGAUGCAAGCGUUGUCCGGAAUUAUUGGGCGUAAAGAGGUCGUAGGCGGUAUGUAAAGUCUGGUGUUAAAGCCCGGAGCUCAACUCCGGUUCGGCAUUGUAUACUUACAAACUAGAAUACAGACGAGGCAAAGGGAAUUCCUAGUGUAGCGGUGAAAUGCGUAGAUAUUAGGAGGAACACCAGUGGCGUAAGCGCUUUGCUAGUCUGUUAUUGACGCUGAGGAACGAAAGCCAGGGGAGCAAAUGGG